CCUACGGGAGGCAGCAGUGUGGAAUAUUGCACAAUGGGGGAAACCCUGAUGCAGCGACGCCGCGUGAGUGAAGAAGUAUUUCGGUAUGUACAGCUCUGUCAGCAGGGAAGAAAAUGACGGUACCUGCCCACGAAGCCCCGGCUACCUACGUGCCAGCAGCCGCGGUAAUACGUAGGGGGCAAGCGUGAUCCGGCUUUACUGGGUGUAAAGGGAGCGUAGACGGCAGGGCAAGUCUGGAGUGAAAGGCGGGGGCUCAACCCCCGGACUGCUCUGGAAACUGCCAGGCUGGAGUGCAGGAGAGGUAAGUGGAAUUCCUAGUGUAGCGGUGAAAUGCGUAGAUAUUAGGAGGAACACCAGUGGCGAAGGCGGCUUACUGGACUGUAACUGACGUUGAGGCUCGAAAGCGUGGGGAGCAAACAGGAUUAGAUACCCGUGUAGUC
rnacentral:rRNA from 1 species